AAUCAGGCCAGCCGGUAGCCACCAUAUUGCUCAUUCUUUCCGUUUUUUUGGGCUUCAAACUCCACCAAAGCUGCCCCCGCCGACUACCAAAGGCUCCAUAUUCUUUACGCCGCCGACCACCACUCCUCCACACUCCACAUACUAUUCUUCUCCAUGGGCCACGGAAGUGACGGCAAGGCAGAGCUUCGGACCUCCGGUAGUGCAGGAGCUACAAGAUAAAGGUAUGUUAUCUUCGUACCUUCGAACCUCCAUGUCAGACUACUAUUAAAUCUGCUCAAUAUAAUAUGUUUCGUCUCUCGUCGAAUAUCGGAUUUUUAGAAAUGUGAAUGGCAGCUUUGUUAUCACAGUAUAGAAUGGCAGGUUGAGAAUGAGGUAUGCCAAAAUCUUUGAGGAUGGCCAAAAUACAUGUCACGUCAUAAGUUGCAUUUGUCAUUGCUCUUUAUUCAGCUUCGACGGAGGAUCGAGAGACAGUUCUUUGUUUUUUUUUUCACUUCCACGAGACCUAAGAAUCACCAAUGAACACGCAAUAGCCAGAUAUUGAACGAUGAGUGUCAAGACAGCCGCCCCAAUCUGUAUCGGCAAGCAACUUAACUUGAAUAUUGUGGGGACUAAGACUUGUUUCUGCAUAAGCUGAGACCAGAGAGUAGAGUUAGCAGGAAAAAAGAGUCCUUGUCCAGGAGAAGAUUUUAAAUAUUGUAAGAUACGUGAGCAGCCUCUUGAUGGGGUACUCGUGGUGAGGUAAGGAACUGACUUAGCCUAUUGACAGCGAAUGAAAUGUCAGGACGAGUUAUAGUUAAAUAUAUGAGCUUCCCAGUAAGACUGCGAUAAGACUUUGGGUCUGAAAUAGUAUCACCAAUGUCAUUGGUUAACUUGAGAUUGGGUUCCAUUGGUUUGGGAGCUGGUUUAGCCCCUAAGAAACCAGUAUCUUGAAGCAAUUGAAGAGUAAAUGGUCGCUGAGAUAAUUCCUUUCAAGUCCAAGGAAGAACCGAAAGUGGACCGAGAUCUUUCCGCUUGAAUUUUCUAUCAAGAUUGGUUGUAAAUUCGAAAAUGACAUUAUGAUUAUAACUAGCAAUAAUGAUGUCAUCAACAUAUACUAGGAUUGCUAUGAAAAUGGUAUGAGUAUUUUUGAUGAAUAAGGAAUGGUCGGAAGGAGAUUGUUUGAAACCAUUGGCAAGUAAUGUAGAACUAAGCUUGGCACACCAUUGCCUUGAAGCUUGUUUGAGGCCAUACAAAAUCUUUUGCAAUUUGCAAGCUGAGUAUUUUGGAAUGGUGGAAGGAAGGUGAUAGCCUUUGGGCAAUUUCAUAUAAACAUCUUCCUCUAAGUCACCAUGCAAGAAGGUAUUGUUUAUGUCCAUUUGGUGAAGAUGCCAAUGCUUAGGGGCAGCAAGAGCAAGAAGGAUUUUAAGUGUAUUAAACUUAGCUAUGAGAGCAUAAGUUUCAAGGUAGUCUAUACCGUGUUGUUGAGCAUACCCUUUGGCAACUAAACUAAACUUGCCUUGUAUCAUUCUAUUUCUCCAUUGAGUUUGUAUUUAAUUUUAUACAUCUAUUUGCUACCAACGGUUUUGUGGCCAGGUGGUUAAGAAGUAAUGAGCCAAGCUUUAUUGGCUUCUAAGGCUUGAAAUUCAAGUUGCGUGGCUUUUUGCCAUUCAUGAUGAUACUUGAGCAUACGAAUUUGGCUCAAGUAUUGCAUUUGUGGCUAAUACAGCAGCGCGGAAUGAAAGGGGAAAGCUUAUUGGAAGCAAGAGAGCUAGUUUUAUCUUUCUUAAAUCUUUAUGAACUUUCUUUUAAAUUUGUAGACGUUUGAUUUAUUGAGAAGAAUUUUAAUAUUCACUACCAUACUUUAUUUUAA